rnacentral:rRNA from 1 species
CCGGCGACCGGCGGACGGGUGCGUAACGCGUAUGUAACCUACCUUUGACAGGGGGAUAACAUCGAGAAAUUGGUACAAUACCCCAUAACAUCACCGGAGGCAUCUUCGGUGGUUGAAAACUCAGGUGGUCAGAGAUGGACAUGCGUUGUAUUAGCUAGUUGGUGAGGUAACGGCUCACCAAGGCGACGAUACAUAGGGGGACUGAGAGGUCAACCCCCCACAUUGGUACUGAGACACGGACCAAACUCCUACGGAAGGCAGCAG